rnacentral:rRNA from 1 species
GGGAGCCGGAGGGAAACCGAGUCUUAAUUGGGCGUUAAGUUGCAGGGUAUAGACCCGAAACCCGGUGAUCUAGCCAUGGGCAGGUUGAAGGUUGGGUAACACUAACUGGAGGACCGAACCGACUAAUGUUGAAAAAUUAGCGGAUGACCUGUGGCUGGGGGUGAAAGGCCAAUCAAACCGGGAGAUAGCUGGUUCUCCCCGAAAGCUAUUUAGGUAGCGCCUCGUGAAUUCAUCUCCGGGGGUAGAGCACUGUUUCGGCUAGGGGGCCAUCCCGGCUUACCAACCCGAUGCAAACUGCGAAUACCGGAGAAUGUUAUCACGGGAGACACACGGCGGGUGCUAACGUCCGUCGUGAAGAGGGAAACAACCCAGACCGCCAGCUAAGGUCCCAAAGUCAUGGUUAAGUGGGAAACGAUGUGGGAAGGCCCAGACAGCCAGGAUGUUGGCUUAGAAGCAGCCAUCAUUUAAAGAAAGCGUAAUAGCUCACUGGUCGAGUCGGCCUGCGCGGAAGAUGUAACGGGGCUAAACCAUGCACCGAAGCUGCGGCAGCGACGCUUAUGCGU